rnacentral:rRNA from 1 species
GGAUGAACGCUGGCGGCGUGCCUAAUACAUGCAAGUCGAGCGAACAGAUGAGAAGCUUGCUCCUCUGACGUUAGCGGCGGACGGGUGAGUAACACGUGGAUAACCUACCUAUAAGACUGGGAUAACUUCGGGAAACCGGAGCUAAUACCGGAUAAUAUAUUGAACCGCAUGGUUCAAUAGUGAAAGACGGUUUUGCUGUCACUUAUAGAUGGAUCCGCGCCGCAUUAGCUAGUUGGUAAGGUAACGGCUUACCAAGGCGACGAUGCGUAGCCGACCUGAGAGGGUGAUCGGCCACACUGGAACUGAGACACGGUCCAGACUCCUACGGGAGGCAGCAGUAGGGAAUCUUCCGCAAUGGGCGAAAGCCUGACGGAGCAACGCCGCGUGAGUGAUGAAGGUCUUCGGAUCGUAAAACUCUGUUAUUAGGGAAGAACAAAUGUGUAAGUAACUAUGCACGUCUUGACGGUACCUAAUCAGAAAGCCACGGCUAACUACGUG